rnacentral:lncRNA from 1 species
UCCCAGGCAAUUUAUUUACCACUUAAAAAAUACCGAAUGAGACUCUGACAGCAGAAAUCCCCGCGGUGUGCUGUGAGAGCAGCCUGACCCAGGCUGGGCAGUCCUGCACCCGGGCUCGCUGCAGGUCCCUUUUCCCUCACCCACGUGAGCAAUCCGGUGACAGGGUGCGUGGUUGCCGCGGGUGUGACGCGCAGCCAGCCCUGUUCUCCAAAGCCCUGCCGAGGAUGCUCGCGGUCAGGGCUUCUCCGAGCCCUUCCCAGGGCGGCUGGCGGCGGUCCUGGGGAGCAGCAGCCCCCAGGAGAGGCUGGAGAGCCCCCAGCGUUUCCUGCUGAGGCAGCACAUUCCCAGAGGGAGGAAAGGUCGUGGCUGGGGCUGUCCUGGUUUCCGCUCCCGCUCCCAGCACGGCCGUCAGCUGCGGCGGCUUCCUCUGGCUGCUGCCCAGCCUUCGCAAGGUGCGCCCCAGCCCUGGCACCGGCGGCGGUCCCGCUCACCGGGAGGGUCCCAGCCGGGCCAGCAGCCGUGGCUGGUUCUUCCUCCUCACCAGAACUGUCCCAGCCGGGCCAGCAGCCGUGGCUGGUUCUUCCUCCUCACCAGAACUGUCCCAGCCGGGCCAGCAGCCGUGGCUGGUUCUUCCUCCUCACCAGAACUGUCCCAGCCGGGCCAGCAGCCGUGGCUGGUUCUUCCUCCUCACCAGAACUGUCCCAGCCGGGCCAGCAGCCGUGGCUGGUUCUUCCUCCUCACCAGAACUGUCCCAGCCGGGCCAGCAGCCUUGCGUGGCUCUUCCUCCUCACCGGGAGGGUCCCAGCCAGGCCAGGAGCCGUGCGUGGCUCUUCCUCCUCACCAGAACUGUCCCAGCCGGGCCAGCAGCCGUGCGUGGCUCUUCCUCCUCACCGGGAGGGUCCCAGCCGGGCCAGCAGCCGUGCGUGGCUCUUCCUCCUCACCGGGAGGGUCCCAGCCAGGCCAGCAGCCGUGCCUGGUUCUUCCUCCUCACCAGAACUGUCCCAGCCGGGCCAGCAGCCAUGGCUGGUUCUUCCUCCUCACCAGAACUGUCCCAGCCAGGCCAGCAGCCAUGCGUGGCUCUUUCUGCCGUGCCUGGCUCUUUCUGCCGUGCCUGGCUCUUUCUCCCGUGCGUGGCUCUUUCUCCCGUGCGUGGCUGGGCGCUGGGCAGGCACAGCCGGGCAGGGCGAGCGGCGCUGGCCGGACGCGGGCGGCCUCCCGGUGACACACAGCCC